AGGUAAGCUACUCUGGCAUCUCUCUCUCUCUCUCUCUCUCUUUUCCUUUCAUUGCCGAAGAAUCCCCAUUCCCGCUUCCUCCGGCGUCAGUCCUCGGUGGCGAUCACCUCCUCCCGCGACACUAUCUCGGCAGCUACCACCACAUAAUCUGCAAGUCAUCUUCAUUCGGCAGACUGCGGAGGUGCAGAGUUCGCUAGAGAUAAAGUCAUCCCUGUCAUUUUGUUCCCUAAGGUGAAAGAUAGCUCUGGUUUGUCUACCAAAGACCUUGUAAAUGCUAUUAGGGGUUGUUUUCACAUGUGGUGAUAGUUGCAAAUUGGAAAUGGAAAGGCAAUGAAGAUAGAUGUGCGUGAUUCAAGUUACGAAAGUGAUGUAAUCUAAGAGGCUUGGAUGGUAAUAAUGUACUUCUCCUUCCCCAAAGAGCAUGAAUUAUUCUCUGAUAUUUGUCCUUGAAAAUUUGCAUAUCUUGAUGGAUAUGAAUUUAUAAUUGUGAAACCCAUCCAUGUGAAAAGAAUUUCUGGACUUGGUAUUCGAUCAUUUGGUGCAAAAUAAGAAGCUAGGAAAAGCAUUUAUGGUGAAGAGUCAAAGACUUCAUUUGAUUUCUCUCGAGAGGUUCAAGAAAGAUUGGGGCGUCGAAUAAACACCAUUGAACCUUGGAGGUGAUCUAGAAGUGGAAAAAAGGAGGGCUGACUGAGUACCUUGCCACUUGCCGUGGCCUUGGGAAUUUGUAGGUGCAGGCCAACUGGAUUUGUUCAAAGCUCUGGUCACUAAGUUUUUUCCUGUUAAACAUUCACAUGAACAUUGGUGACGUGUUGUACAGAUUUUUUCUUUUAUAACCAUGAUUUAUUACGUGGGCAACUGAUAUUUUUGGGACCAUUUUCCAUUUGGAGUUGUGAUUUUCAUUUUUGUUGAGCAAUAUUUUAUAUUUUGGCUUAUAUUUGCCUCUGUAUGUAUUGAAUUGUUCUAGAUUUUUUAUCCAACUGAGGCUGACAACAUUUAAAGCAGGGAUUUGAGUCACCCUAGACUUG